UACGAAGGGGGCUAGCGUUGUUCGGAAUCACUGGGCGUAAAGCGCACGUAGGCGGAUGUGCCAGUCAGGGGUGAAAUCCCGGAGCUCAACUCCGGAACUGCCUCUGAUACAGCACGUCUUGAGUUCGAGAGAGGUGGGUGGAAUUCCUAGUGUAGAGGUGAAAUUCGUAGAUAUCAGGAGGAACACCGGUGGCGAAGGCGGGUCUCUGGGCCGAUACUGACGCUGAGGAGCGAAAGCGUGGGGAGCGAACAGG
rnacentral:rRNA from 1 species